UUGAUAAAAUUUUGUUUCUCCCUCAGGUUCCUUCGGGAGAUUCUUCUUCUCAAUCUCAGGUUCCUUUGAGAGAUUUUUCUUUUCAAUUUCAGGCUUUUUCGAGAGAUUCUUCUUUUCAAUCUUAGGUCCCUCUGUGGGAUUUCUUCAAUUUAUGUUCUCUAACGAUCAGUAAUAAAAAACGGUUGUUACACUCUGACACCGGGACGGUGCUUACAACUAGAUCCGAG
rnacentral:lncRNA from 1 species